UUUUGGGAGAGAAAAAAAAAAUGCGAGAAAAAAAAAGGAAAGAGAAAAAGGUAUAAGGGUAUUUUGGUCAGUUUAUUAAAAAUUCAGAUCGAAUCUGCAAAAUCGAAAAAGGCCGCCCAGUUUUACAAAAGAUCAAAACUUGUGGAUUUUUUUUAAUGUAAAUUGGCCUAAUUUUUCUUCUUUAAACUUUUUUCAUAAAGGGUUAAUUGCAUAUAGGUUCUUAUAGAUAUAGUGAAUUGUAAAUAUAUUCCUACAAAAUUCAACUUUCAUAUGUUGUCCGUGCAACCUGCAAAAGAAUGUUUUCAAAUGUGUCCCUGCAGUUAGGAUCUGUUAGAAAAAAUUAGUUAAUCAUAGGUAAAGUACUUAACCCUAGUUAGUUAAUGGGGUAAAUUGACAUUUUUACCCUCUUCAAUUAAGAGUAGGACUUUUGGAGGGAUAUAUUUGUGGAGUUCGGUUGGGAUACUAUCGAUACCACUAAGGAUUUGGUGCUAUCAAGUUUUCCACCGUUAGAUUUAACCCUUUGAUUAUUUUUACCCGUUAGAUUAUACUAUUCAACAAACCACUCACUCAACCCUAAAGGGCCCAUAUCAUCCUAACUACAUAUGUCUCAAUCCAAGGGCUAAAAAACUAAUAGCACCAAUAGCUUGGUACUAUUGAUAGUAUUUCAGCCUAGUUCUAUAUUUGUGAUGGCAAAAAGUCAUUUUAUUUAUAAAAUAAACAGUGCUUUAACGGUAACAAACUAGAAAGACAUAUUUGAAAAUAUUAGGACUUUUGCAGGAACAACAUAUAAAAGUUGAACUUUGUAGGGAUAUAUUUACAAUUCACUAUGUUUGCAAGGACCAGUAUGAAAUUAACCCAAAAAACAAACAAUACCAACUCU
rnacentral:lncRNA from 1 species